rnacentral:rRNA from 1 species
UAGGGGUUUUGAGAGGAAGGUCCCCCACAUUGGUACUGAGACACGGACCAAACUCCUACGGGAGGCAGCAGUGAGGAAUAUUGGUCAAUGGGCGCAAGCCUGAACCUGCCAAGUAGCGUGCAGGACGACUGCCCUAUGGGUUGUAAACUGCUUUUAUAGGGGAAUAAAGUGAGGUAUGCAUACCUUUUUGUAUGUACCCUAUGAAUAAGGACCGGCUAAUUCCGUGCCAGCAGCCGCGGUAAUACGGAAGGUCCAGGCGUUAUCCGGAUUUAUUGGGUUUAAAGGGAGCGCAGGCGGGCUUUUAAGCGUGUUGUGAAAUGUAACGGCUCAACCGUUGAAUUGCAGCGCGAACUGGAGGCCUUGAGUGAGUACGACGUGUACGGAAUUCGUGGUGUAGCGGUGAAAUGCUUAGAUAUCACGAAGAACUCCGAUUGCGAAGGCAGUGCACGAGUCCUUAACUGACGCUAAAGCUCGAAAGUGCGGGUAUCGAACAGGAUUAGAUACCCUGGUAGUCCGCACGGUAAACGAUGGAUGCCCGCUGUUGGCGAUAUAAUGUCAGCGGCCAAGUGAAAACGUUAAGCAUCCCACCUGGGGAGUACGCCGGCAACGGUGAAACUCAAAGGAAUUGACGG